ACCAUUCACUCUCUCAGUCUCACUCACACUCUGCUGUAAUUUUCGGGAGGAGAUUUGGAAGAUUCUCGCUGUCUUCGUAGUCAAGGCUAAGUCAAGUUACAGCACUUCCAGAAGAUAUUGUUUUCCCCCUGAGGACGCUCUUGGAGGUUGCUGCAAUGGAGCAGAAAUUGGCAGACCCCACCUUCCACAAACAAGUGGUUGGCGUGGUGGCAGAAAUUGGAGGAAGAACAUUGGAUGAAGCCACCAGAAGAAUGAUGGCCUUCCUUUUAGACCACUCCCUAUCAAGAGAGUACAAUUUUGUUGGCUCAAACUGUUUCGGGGCUCAAACUGUUUGAGGUUGUAUAUGGAAGCUUGAAAAAAAAUGCCCUUACAAACCAGAUUACUAGAAGAGAUGCUGAAAAGGCAGUGUCAAAGUGGCUAAUUGGUGCCAGGGACAGGAGGAAGGAGGAAACCGUACAGCGAGGGCACGUGGUGGAGAGCAAGAUGGGUAAAAGUCAUUAUCAUUAAAACUGCAGUUAAAAAGUGUUUAGCCUACUUAUAUUUGUGUAAAACACAACAUUGUGCUUUUGUCAAACUUUAAACUUUUGUAGGCUAACCUACAACUGUCACCCAACCAAAAUCACAUACACACACACAGUUCAGUGGUUCUGGAGAUUUAUCUGAAUGACUCAUAAACAAAAAAUGUUGAAAAUGUGAAAAUAAAACAAAGUGGUUCUGAAAGGUUUUUUUUAGGAAGAAAAAUCUAUGAACCA